rnacentral:lncRNA from 1 species
UUUCACACUCCUCCUGCCCUGUUUCUUUUAUCUUAACUCCCAGCUGGGCUAUUACUCCAAAACCUGCAGUAACAGGAGUGUUACAUAGUCACACAUAGAGUAAUCUACUCUGCACAGGAUUAAAGGGAAAAUGUGCAUCAGCCCUUUCUCCCAGAUCAGGAAAACUAUUUUGUGAGUCACACAGAGAGUGGGGACGGCAGUGAACAUAAAGUUGUUGUUGCCUGUUCAUGAUCCCUCUGCUGAUUUCUGGAGGAAGCACCCUAGCCCUA